rnacentral:rRNA from 1 species
GAUGCAGCUGCAGGCCUAUGAAGUAGGCUCCUUCAGGUGGCUGCACAGGUGCUGCAUGGCUGUCGUCAGUUCGUGCCGUGAGGUGUUUGGUUAAGUCCAGCAACGAACGCAACCCCCUGUGUCCAGUUGCCAUCAGGUAACGCUGGGAACUCUGGACAGACUGCCCGUUCACACGGGAGGAAGGUGGGGACGACGUCAAGUCAGUAUGGCCCUUACAUCCGGGGCUGCACACGUGCUACAAUGGCCGGCACAAAGGGAAGCCAAGCCGCGAGGCCGAGCCAAUCCCCAAAACCGGCCCCAGUUCAGAUCGGGGUCUGCAACCCGACCCCGUGAAGUCGGAUUUGCUAGUAACGGCGCAUCAGCUACGGCGCCGUGAAUACGUUCCCGGGCCUU